rnacentral:rRNA from 1 species
AUGCAAGUCGAACGCUCCGCGUAGCAAUACGUGGGGAGUGGCGGACGGGUGAGUAACACGUAGCUCAUCUACCCUGGGAAGGGGGAUAACAGCUGGAAACGGCUGCUAAUACCCCAUACGCUGGGAGGCGGUAGGGGCCUCUCAGGAAAGCUGAGGCGUCCUGGGAUGAGGCUGCGGCCCAUCAGCUGGUUGGCGAGGUAACGGCUCACCAAGGCGACGACGGGUAGGGGGCCUGAGAGGGUGGUCCCCCACACUGGAACUGAGACACGGUCCAGACUCCUACGGGAGGCAGCAGUGAGGAAUAUUGCGCAAUGGGCGAAAGCCAGACGCAGCAACGCCGCGUGGAGGAAGACGGCCUUCGGGUUGUAAACUCCUUUUCUGGGGGAAGAUUUGGACGGUACCCCAGGAAGAAGUCUCGGCUAACUACGUGCCAGCAGCCGCGGUAAAACGUAUGAGACGAGCGUUAUCCGGAUUUACUGGGCGUAAAGCGCGUGCAGGCGGUUGGGCAAGUCGUGCGUGAAAGCUCCUGGCUUAACUGGGAGAGGUCGUACGAAACUGCCCGACUGGAGGGCACGCGAGGGGUGUGGAAUUCCGGGUGUAGUGGUGAAAUGCGUAGAUAUCCGGAGGAACACCAGUGGCGGAGGCGACACCCUGGACUGUACCUGACGCUCAUACGCGAAAGCAUGGGGAGCGAACGGGAUUAAAAACCCCGGUAGUCCAUGCUGUUAACGAUGUGCACUGGGCGUGGAAGGCUGC